rnacentral:rRNA from 1 species
UUGGCUCAGGAUGAACGCUGGCGGCGUGCCUAACACAUGCAAGUCGAGCGAUGAAUAAACCGACAAGGUUUCGGCCAAGGAAGUUUAUUCAGAGCGGCGGAUGGGUGAGGAACGCGUGGGGAACCUGCCUUUCACCGGGGGAUACCAGCUGGAAACGGCUGUUAAUACCGCAUAUGCUCACGGUGCCGCAUGGCACAGGGAGGAAAACUCCGGUGGUGAAAGAUGGACCCGCGUCGGAUUAGUUAGUUGGUGAGGUAACGGCCCACCAAGACGAUGAUCCGUAGCCGGCCUGAGAGGGCGACCGGCCACAUUGGGACUGAGACACGGCCCAAACUCCUACGGGAGGCAGCAGUGGGGAAUA